rnacentral:piRNA from 1 species
CAGGAGAACAAACUGGGUACCCCAAGAUA